rnacentral:rRNA from 1 species
UACGUAGGGUGCAAGCGUUUGUCCGGAAUUACUGGGCGUAAAGAGCUCGUAGGUGGUUUGUCGCGUUGUCCGUGAAAACUCACAACUCAAUUGUGGGCGUGCGGGCGAUACGGGCAGACUGGAGUACUGCAGGGGGAGACUGGAAUUCCUGGUGUAGCGGUGGAAUGCGCAGAUAUCAGGAGGAACACCGGUGGCGAAGGCGGGUCUCUGGGCCGAUGACUGACGCUGAGGAGCGAAGGUCAGGGGAGCAAACGGG